GUGGGGAAUCUUGCGCAAUGGGCGAAAGCCUGACGCAGCCAUGCCGCGUGAAUGAUGAAGGUCUUAGGAUUGUAAAAUUCUUUCACCGGGGACGAUAAUGACGGUACCCGGAGAAGAAGCCCCGGCUAACUUCGUGCCAGCAGCCGCGGUAAUACGAAGGGGGCUAGCGUUGCUCGGAAUUACUGGGCGUAAAGGGCGCGUAGGCGGACAGUUUAGUCAGAGGUGAAAGCCCAGGGCUCAACCUUGGAAUUGCCUUUGAUACUGGCUGUCUUGAGUACGGGAGAGGUGAGUGGAACUCCGAGUGUAGAGGUGAAAUGCGUAGAUAUUCGGAAGAACACCAGUGGCGAAGGCGACUCACUGGCCCGUUACUGACGCUGAGGCGCGAAAGCGUGGGGAGCAAACAGGAUUAGAAACCCCAGUAGUCC
rnacentral:rRNA from 1 species